UACGAAGGGGGCUAGCGUUGUUCGGAAUUACUGGGCGUAAAGCGCACGUAGGCGGAGUGUUAAGUCGGGGGUGAAAUCCCGGGGCCCAACCCCGGAACUGCCUUCGAUACUGGCGCUCUCGAGUCCGGAAGAGGUGAGUGGAAUUCCCAGUGUAGAGGUGAAAUUCGUAGAUAUUGGGAAGAACACCAGUGGCGAAGGCGGCUCACUGGUCCGGUACUGACGCUGAGGUGCGAAAGCGUGGGGAGCAAACAGG
rnacentral:rRNA from 1 species